ACAGUGGUGGUUCAGUAGUAGAAUUCUCACCUUCCAUGUGGAAGACCUGGGUUCAAUUCCCAGCCAAUGCA
rnacentral:tRNA from 1 species